rnacentral:rRNA from 1 species
CAGAAACUUAAAGGAAGUUGACGGGGCCCGGCACAAGCGGUGGAGUAUGUGGUUUAAUUCGAUGCAACGCGAAGAACCUUACCUGGUCUUGACAUCCCGGAGACCCUUAGGAAACUAGGGGGUGCUUCCAUCUGGAAGAAUCUGGAGACAGGUGCUGCAUGGCUGUCGUCAGCUCGUGUCGUGAGAUGUUGGGUUAAGUCCCGCAACGAGCGCAACCCUUGCCUUUAGUUGCCAGCAGUUCGGCUGGGCACUCUAAAGGGACUGCCGGUGUUAAACCGGAGGAAGGUGGGGAUGACGUCAAGUCCUCAUGGCCUUUAUGACCAGGGCUACACACGUACUACAAUGGCCGAUACAAAGGGCAGCGACACUGCGAGGUGAAGCCAAUCCCGUAAAAUCGGUCUCAGUCCGGAUUGGAGUCUGCAACUCGACUCCAUGAAGUUGGAAUCGCUAGUAAUCGUGGAUCAGCAUGCCACGGUGAAUACGUUCCCGGGCCUU